rnacentral:rRNA from 1 species
UACAAAUGAAUUGACGGGGGCCCGCACAAGCGGUGGAACAUGUGGUUAAUUCGAUGCAACGCGAAGAACCUUACCUGGGCUUGACAUCCACGGAACCUGCUGGAAACAGUGGGGUGCCUUUCGGGAGCCUCUACAGGUGUUGCAUGGCUGUCGUCAGCUCGUGUCGUGAGAUGUUCGGUUAAGUCCGCUAACGAGCGCAACCCUCGCUGUGUGUUACAAGUGUCACACGGUACUGCCGGUAUUAAGUCGGAGGAAGGUGGGGAUGACGUCAAGUCAGCAUGACCUUUAUAUCCAGGGCUACACACACGCUACAAUGGUCAGUACAAUAGGUUGCCAAGCCGCGAGGCGGAGCCAAUCCUAAAAAGCUGGCCUCAGUUCAGAUUGCAGUCUGCAACUCGACUGCAUGAAGUUGGAGUUGCUAGUAACCGCAGGUCAGCUAUACUGCGGUGAAUACGUUCCCGGGAUU